rnacentral:rRNA from 1 species
GACAGAGGGGGCAAGCGUUGCUCGGAAUUACUGGGCGUAAAGGGCGCGUAGGCGGGAUGGCAAGUCGGUCGUGAAAUCCCCCGGCUCAACUGGGGAACUGCACAGGAAACUAGCGGGCUUGAGUUCGGGAGAGGGAAGCGGAAUUCCGGGUGUGGCGGUGAAAUGCGUAGAUAUCCGGAGGAACACCGGUGGCGAAGGCGGCUUCCUGGACCGACACUGACGCUGAGGCGCGAAAGCUAGGGGAGCAAACGGG